rnacentral:rRNA from 1 species
UACGUAGGGUCCGAGCGUUGUCCGGAAUUACUGGGCGUAAAGAGCUCGUAGGUGGUUUGUCGCGUUGUUCGUGAAAACUCACAGCUCAACUGUGGGCGUGCGGGCGAUACGGGCAGACUGGAGUACUGCAGGGGAGACUGGAAUUCCUGGUGUAGCGGUGGAAUGCGCAGAUAUCAGGAGGAACACCGGCGGCGAAGGCGGCACUCUGGGCCGGUACUGACGCUGAGGAGCGAAAGCGUGGGUAGCAAACAGG